UACGUAGGGUGCGAGCGUUGUCCGGAAUUAUUGGGCGUAAAGAGCUCGUAGGCGGUGUGUCGCGUCGGCCGUGAAAACCUGGGGCUCAACUCUGGGCGUGCGGUCGAUACGGGCAUCACUUGAGUUCGGCAGGGGAGACUGGAAUUCCUGGUGUAGCGGUGAAAUGCGCAGAUAUCAGGAGGAACACCGGUGGCGAAGGCGGUUCUCUGGGCCUUACCUGACGCUGAGGAGCGAAAGUGUGGGGAGCGAACAGG
rnacentral:rRNA from 1 species